rnacentral:misc_RNA from 1 species
UUUCCGUAGGUGAACCUGCGGAAGGAUCAUUAAAUAGUACCACAGAUUACAUAUGCAAAUAUGACAAUCUACUACUAUAUACCAUUCCGAGUACUCUUUUUCCAUGUUGCUUCCGCGAGGCAGUCACUUCAAGAGGCCGUUUGCUCCGGAUCUCCCUGCUUGGAGAGCCGGCUGUGGGCGAGAUUUCCUUGCGAAAGGUCAAUUACAAAUCCAAUUAUGUUUUUAUUUUGUGUCUGAAUAGAUUUUUUUUUUCUUUCUUUUUUUAAUUAAUAAAUACAAAAAAAAUAAAAUAAAAUGCAAAACUUUCAACAACGGAUCUCUUGGUUCUC